rnacentral:rRNA from 1 species
GUACAGGAUGGACCCGCGUCUGAUUAGCUAGUUGGUAAGGUAACGGCUUACCAAGGCGACGAUCAGUAGCCGACCUGAGAGGGUGAUCGGCCACAUUGGAACUGAGACACGGUCCAAACUCCUACGGGAGGCAGCAGUGGGGAAUAUUGCACAAUGGGCGAAAGCCUGAUGCAGCAACGCCGCGUGAGUGAUGAAGGCCUUCGGGUCGUAAAACUCUGUCCUCAAGGAAGAUAAUGACGGUACUUGAGGAGGAAGCCCCGGCUAACUACGUGCCAGCAGCCGCGGUAAUACGUAGGGGGCUAGCGUUAUCCGGCUUUACUGGGCGGAAAGGGUGCGUAGGCGGUCUUUCAAGUCAGGAGUGAAAGGCUACGGCUCAACCGUAGUAAGCUCUUGAAACUGGGAGUCUUGAGUGCAGGAGAGGAGAGUGGAAUUCCUAGUGUAGCGGUGAAAUGCGUAGAUAUUAGGAGGAACACCAGUU